UACGUAGGGGGCAAGCGUUGUCCGGAUUUAUUGGGCGUAAAGAGCUCGUAGGCGGUCUGUCGCGUCUGCUGUGAAAACUCGGGGCUUAACCCCGGGCCUGCAGUGGGUACGGGCAGACUAGAGUGCGGUAGGGGAGACUGGAAUUCCUGGUGUAGCGGUGAAAUGCGCAGAUAUCAGGAGGAACACCAAUGGCGAAGGCAGCUCGCUGGAACGGUACUGACGCUGAGGCGCGAAAGCGUGGGGAGCAAACAGG
rnacentral:rRNA from 1 species